ACCUGCGGAGGGAUCAUUACAGAGUUGCAAAACUCCCAAACCAUUGUGAACGUUACCUUUACCGUUGCUUCGGCGGGCGGCCCGGGUCCUGCCCGGCGCCCCUCGGCCCUCGCGGGCGCCCGCCGGAGGUAAACCAAACUAUUGCAUUGUAUGGCCUCUCUGAGUCUUCUGUACUGAAUAAGUCAAAACUUUCAACAACGGAUCUCUUGGUUCUGGCAUCGAUGAAGAACGCAGCGAAAUGCGAUAAGUAAUGUGAAUUGCAGAAUUCAGUGAAUCAUCGAAUCUUUGAACGCACAUUGCGCCCGCCAGUAUUCUGGCGGGCAUGCCUGUUCGAGCGUCAUUUCAACCAUCAAGCCCCCGGCUUGUGUUGGGGACCUGCGGCUGCCGCAGGCCCUGAAAACCAGUGGCGGGCUCGCUAGUCACUCCGAGCGUAGUAGUUUACAUCUCGCUCAGGGCGUGCUGCGGGUUCCGGCCGUUAAAAGCCUUAUUUACCCAAGGUGA
rnacentral:misc_RNA from 2 species